rnacentral:rRNA from 1 species
AGCGAACGCUGGCGGCAGGCCUAACACAUGCAAGUCGAACGAACCUUUCGGGGUUAGUGGCGGACGGGUGAGUAACACGUGGGAACGUUCCUUUAGGUUCGGAAUAACUCAGGGAAACUUGUGCUAAUACCGAAUGUGCCCUUCGGGGGAAAGAUUAAUCGCCUUUAGAGCGGCCCGCGUCUGAUUAGCUAGUUGGUUGAGGUAAUGGCUCACCAAGGCGACGAUCAGUAGCUGGUCUGAGAGGAUGAUCAGCCACAUUGGGACUGAGACACGGCCCAAACUCCUACGGGAGGCAGCAGUGGGGAAUCUUGCGCAAUGGGCGAAAGCCUGACGCAGCCAUGUCGCGUGAAUGAUGAAGGUCUUAGGAUUGUAAAAUUCUUUCACCGGGGACGAUAAUGACGGUACCCGGAGAAGAAGCCCCGGCUAACUUCGUG